AGGGAUCAUUACUGGAUGCAAUACUCCAACAACCCUUGCGAACAUACCUAAACGUUGCCUCGGCGGGGCUCCCUCCUAGGGAGUGCCAAAACCCGCCGGCGGCCCCAAACUCUGCCUCAUUGGUGUCUCUCUGAGCAAAACUAAAUAAGUUAAAACUUUCAACAACGGAUCUCUUGGUUCUGGCAUCGGUGAAGAACGCAGCGAAAUGCGAUAAGUAAUGUGAAUUGCAGAAUUCAGUGAAUCAUCGAAUCUUUGAACGCACAUUGCGCCCGCCAGCAUUCUGGCGGGCAUGCCUGUUCGAGCGUCAUUUCAACCCUCAGGCUAGCCCUGGUGUUGGGGACCUGCACACUGCAGCCCCCGAAAGGCAGCGGCGGACCCGUCCGGCUCCGAGCGUAGUACUAUACGUCGCUUAGGGCGCCCGGGCGGGCUUCCAGCCGGAAAACCCCCUAUUUCUCAAGGUUGACCUCGGAUCAGGUAGGAAUACCCGCUGAACUUAA
rnacentral:rRNA from 1 species